UUCUUAAUUAGAUCCCACAGCUGUUUCAAGCAGGGCAUAAGGUUUUUUUUGGAACUGCAACAGCUGGAGGUCCAUUUUACAUUAGCAUGAUGGUUUAUGCCUGCCUCAUUGUCAUCAUCAUGAUAUUAAGAAUUUUAGCCAGUGAAGGGGAAACAGUGGUGAUGUCCUUGGCCCUUGUAAAUGCUUGGUGCAAUAUCAUCUAUUUCGCUCGUGGAUUCAAGCUCCUGGGGCCUUUGUGUAUCAUGAUUCAAAAGAUGCUAUUUGGAGACCUGAUGAGAUUUUGUACUAUUUUGAUCAUUGUUAUUAUAGGGUUUGGGGCAGGUAGGUAUUUGAGCAUGCACCGUGAUACCCUCCGACAUCAUUCUCAGUGCUAUAU